rnacentral:rRNA from 1 species
UACGUAGGGUGCGAGCGUUGUCCGGAAUUAUUGGGCGUAAAGCGCGUGUAGGCGGUUCGAUUAGUCUGCUGUGAAAGUCAGGGGCUCAACCCUUGAAUGCCGGUGGAUACUGUCGGGCUAGAGUGCGGAAGAGGCGAGUGGAAUUCCUGGUGUAGCGGUGAAAUGCGCAGAUAUCAGGAGGAACACCAAUUGCGAAGGCAGCUCGCUGGGACGUUACUGACGCUGAGACGCGAAAGCGUGGGGAGCAAACAGG